rnacentral:lncRNA from 1 species
GCUCAUUUUACUUAGCUGCUGAAGAAGGAGAGUCGCAUUCAGCCAGGGAUCACUGAGCAUUCAAAAGUCCAUCUGAGACCUGCUUUCAUUGCACUGCCUCGUGAGGAGCUGUAGGAGAAGAUAUCAUAACUAUUCCCCACUUCUAAUUGUUAGAAGCAACAGCUGUCUAUCAAGAACAAUCUGAGGAUUGUGCACAAAUUGAUUUGGUUCUAUCAAGUGCUGGCUUUCGAUUCCAGUCUGACUUCACUACCACAGGAGCUUCUUGCUCAGGCUUCUGUUCCGGCUCCAUUCUCUCCCUGCCAUUAUAAUGCCAUCCACUGCAGCACCAUCUCUUCAAUCAGAAAACAUUCAUGAUCUCAUUCCACCUGAAGCCAGUGCCUCUGUAAUGUGUAGCAGAAUCCUAUGGAGAAGUUGUAAAAACACAAAAUGUUGGCCCCACCCCAAGAGUUUCUGAUUUUGCAGGUCUGGAGAGGGCCUGUGAUACGUACUUCUAACAAGCUCCCAGGCGAUGCUAAUGUUGCUGGUCUAGAAACACACUUUGAGAGCCACUGUUUUACAAUGUAUUCACCCAGCUUAUGCAAUCAACUACUAUCACAGCAAAGUCCAAAGAAUGCUCCUUAUUUGUUUGUUAUACUGGAGUUUGGCUUGGCUAAAUAUUAUUUGAAACUGAAUGGCUGUUGA